rnacentral:rRNA from 1 species
GAUGAACGCUAGCGGCAGGCUUAACACAUGCAAGUCGAGGGGUAUAGUUCUUCGGAACUAGAGACCGGCGCACGGGUGCGUAACGCGUAUGCAAUCUACCUUUCGCAGAGGGAUAGCCCCAGAGAAAUUUGGAUUAAUACCUCAUAGUAUAGCAGUUUCGCAUGAAACCACUAUUAAAGUCACAACGGCAAAGAUGAGCAUGCGUCCCAUUAGCUAGUUGGUAAGGUAACGGCUUACCAAGGCUGCGAUGGGUAGGGGUCCUGAGAGGGAGAUCCCCCACACUGGUACUGAGACACGGACCAGACUCCUACGGGAGGCAGCAGUGAGGAAUAUUGGACAAUGGGCGAAAGCCUGAUCCAGCAAUGCCGCGUGAGUGAUGAAGGCCUUAGGGUUGUAAAGCUCUUUUACCCGGGAUGNUAAUGACAGUACCGGGAGAAUAAGCUCCGGCUAACUCCGUGCCCAGCAGCCGCGGGUUAAUGUAGUCGUGU